CCAGCACCUGCGGUAAUUCCAGCUCCAAUAGCGUAUAUUUAAGUUGCUGCAGUUAAAAAGCUCGUAGUUGGAUUUCGGGUGGGCCCUGCCGGUCCGCCGUUUCGGUGUGCACUUGCAGGUCCCACCUUGUUGCCGGGGACGUGUUCCUGGGCUUCACUGUCCGGGACACGGAGUCGGCGAGGUUACUUUGAGUAAAUUAGAGUGUUCAAAGCAGGCCUACGCUCUGAAUACAUUAGCAUGGAAUAAUAAUUUAGGACUUCGGUUCUAUUUUGUUGGUUUCUAGAACUGAAGUAAUGAUUAAUAGGGACAGUCGGGGGCAUUCGUACUCAACAGUCAGAGGUGAAAUUCUUGGAUUUGUUGGAGACGAACUACUGCGAAAGCAUUUGCCAAGGAUGUUUUCA
rnacentral:rRNA from 1 species